GAUGAACGCUGGCGGCGUGCCUAAUACAUGCAAGUCGAACGAACAGAUGCUGCUCUUGCUCCUCUCACGUUUGCGGCAGACGUGUGAGUAACACGUGUAUAACCUCCCUAUAUUACUGGGAUAAUUUCGGGAAACCGGAGCUAAUACCGGAUAAUAUCUUGAACCGCAUGGUUCAAUAGUGAAAGACGGUUUUGCUGUCACUUAUCGAUGGAUCUGCGCCGCAUGAGCUAGUUGGUAAGGUAACGGCUUACGACGGCAACGAUGCGUAGCAGACAGGCGAGGGUGGUCGGCCACACUGGAACGGAGACACGGCACAGAGUCAUACGGGAGGCAGCAGUAGGGAAUCGUGCGCAAGGGGCGAAAACCUGACGGCGCAACGCGGAGGGAGGGAUGAAGGUCGUCGGGUCGGAAAACUCGGUUAUUGGGGAAGAACAAGUGUGUAAGUGACUAUGCGCGUCUUGAAGGGAAAUGGUCAGAAAGCCACGGCUAACUACGUG
rnacentral:rRNA from 1 species